rnacentral:rRNA from 1 species
GUAAACGAUGUCGACUAGGAGUUGGGGCCUUUGAGGCUUUAGUUGCGCAGCUAACGCGAUAAGUCGACCGCCUGGGGAGUACGGUCGCAAGGUUAAAACUCAAAUGAAUUGACGGGGGCCCGCACAAGCGGUGGAGCAUGUGGUUUAAUUCGAUGCAACGCGAAGAACCUUACCUGGUCUUGACAUCCAGGGAACUUUCCAGAGAUGGAUUGGUGCCUUCGGGAAUUUUCAUACAGGUGCUGCAUGGCUGUCGUCAGCUCGUGUUGUGAAAUGUUGGGUUAAGUCCCGCAACGAGCGCAACCCUUUUCCUUUGUUGCCAGCAUUUAGGCUGGGAACUCAAAGGAGACGCCAGUGAUAAACGGAGGAAGGGGGGGAUGACGUCAAGUCAUCAUGGCCCUUACGAGCAGGGCUACACACGUGCUACAAUGGAGGGUACAAAGAGUAGCGACCUAGCGAGAGCAAGCUAACCUCUUAAACCGUUCGUAGUCCGGAUUGGAGUCUGCAACUCGACUCCAUGAAGUGGAAAUCGUUGGUAAUCGCGGAUCAGAAAGCCGCGGUGAUUACGUUCCCGGCCCUGUCCCCACCCCCCGCACACCCAUGGAGUUGGGUCACCAGAAGUAGGGUGGCUAAC